rnacentral:rRNA from 2 species
UGGGGAAUAUUGCACAAUGGGCGAAAGCCUGAUGCAGCAACGCCGCGUGAGCGAUGAAGGCCUUUGGGUCGUAAAGCUCUGUCCUUGGGGAAGAAACAAAUGACGGUACCCAAGGAGGAAGCCCCGGCUAACUACGUGCCAGCAGCCGCGGUAAUACGUAGGGGGCAAGCGUUAUCCGGAAUUAUUGGGCGUAAAGAGUACGUAGGUGGUCUUUUAAGCGCAGGGUUUAAGGCAAUGGCUUAACCAUUGUUCGCCCUGUGAACUGGAAGACUUGAGUGUAGGAGAGGAAAGUGGAAUUCCUAGUGUAGCGGUGAAAUGCGUAGAUAUUAGGAGGAACAUCAGUGGCGAAGGCGACUUUCUGGACUAUUACUGACACUGAGGUACGAAAGCGUGGGGAGCAAACAGG